ensembl:lncRNA
AAAAAAAAAAAAAAUUGUAACCGUGUUAAAACUACAAUGGAUACAUCUUACUUUAAGCAAACUACUAUGUGCGCAAGCUCUUCUAAUUACGUAAGAGCUUCAACCUGUCCACUGAAAGCUACAGACUUCCAUAAUGUUGUCCUUCCAUAAGGAGGAUCAUAAGGGUUAGUUUGUGAGAGGGAGAAAAGUAGGAAAAGUAGUAGGCUAUUUGUGUGAGAUAAGAAGAGCAAGAAAACUUAGUAAAAAUUCCAAGAACUCAGGAACUUUGCAGCCUACCGUGAUUUGUCAGUUUGUGUGUACAAUAUCUCCUGAUCUGGGAAAUAGCAAGUCACGCUGGCUUUCACUCCGCUUUGACAACUUGACUGCUGCAACUUCAGAUCAUGUGUUGACAUUAUAGGCUAACUGUAUCUUGCUCAUCUAGUUUGGCUGCCUCCCUUUAAUCCCUCCGGGCAUCAGCUGUGCCAUGAAGUACCCUCACAUGCGGCUCGACUGUACAUUCCACCGGAGAAAACCGCGCGCGGUGAGGCUGACCCGUCAUAUCUACAGCCUUGUUUAAACUCUCAUUCUGACGGCACCCAUUCACUGCAGAGGAUCCACUGGUGAGCAAGUGAUGUAAUGCUAAAUAUCUCCAAAUCUAUCCCAUCAUCUACAUCUUGGAUGGCCUGAGGACUUCAGACAUGCUGUCCUUCCGGCUCAUCCAGUAAUUACUGAUUACAUUAAUUCUGGUAUGAGCAUCCAGUCACCAGCUGAUGGCAGCCCACGGAGCCAAUGCCUUUUGGGACAGGGAGGCUGUUGGGGAAGUCAAUGACCUCUCUAAGUGAUGAAGGAGAGCAGAAUGAGAUGCAGUCCGGUCCAUUCGGGUCUCAGAGGGGUUGUAAAUAGAUUUGCUUGUUAAAGAAGUACUUUUUCCUGGCUGAUUU